rnacentral:rRNA from 1 species
UGGGGGAUAUUGCACAAUGGGCGCAAGCCUGAUGCAGCGACGCCGCGUGAGCGAAGAAGUGCUUCGGUAUGUAAAGCUCUGUCAGCAGGGAAGAAAGUGACGGUACCUGAGGAAGAAGCCCCGGCUAAAUACGUGCCAGCAGCCGCGGUAAUACGUAUGGGGCAAGCGUUAUCCGGAUUUACUGGGUGUAAAGGGAGCGUAGGCGGCAAGGCAAGUCUGAUGUGAAAGCCCGGGGCUCAACCGCGGGACUGCAUUGGAAACUGCCGGGCUGGAGUGCCGGAGGGGCAAGCGGAAUUCCUAGUGUAGCGGUGAAAUGCGUAGAUAUUAGGAGGAACACCAGUGGCGAAGGCGGCUUGCUGGACGGUGACUGACGCUGAGGCUCGAAAGCGUGGGGAGCAAACAGG